rnacentral:rRNA from 1 species
UAAUACGAAGGGAGCUAGCGUUGUUCGGAAUUACUGGGCGUAAAGGGCGCGUAGGCGGUUUAGUAAGUCAGAUGUGAAAGCCCCGGGCUUAACCUGGGAUGUGCAUUUGAUACUGCUAGACUAGAGAUCGAAAGAGGAGAGUGGAAUUGCGAGUGUAGAGGUGAAAUUCGUAGAUAUUCGCAGGAACACCAGUGGCGAAGGCGACUCUCUGGUUCGAUACUGACGCUAAGGCGCGAAAGCGUGGGGAGCAAACAGGAUUAGAUACCCUGGUAGUCCACGCUGUAAACGAUGAGUGCUAGAUGUUGGGGGAUUUAUCCUUCAGUAUCGCAGCUAACGCAAUAAGCACUCCGCCUGGGGAGUACGGUCGCAAGAUUA